rnacentral:rRNA from 1 species
UUCCAGACUCCUACGGGAGGCAGCAGUGAGGAAUAUUGGUCAAUGGGCGCGAGCCUGAACCAGCCAAGUCGCGUGAGGGAUGACGGCCCUACGGGUUGUAAACCUCUUUUGUCAGGGAGCAAAGGGCGCCACGUGUGGCGCUUUGCGAGUACCUGAAGAAAAAGCGUCGGCUAACUCCGUGCCAGCAGCCGCGGUAAUACGGAGGAUGCGAGCGUUAUCCGGAUUUAUUGGGUUUAAAGGGUGCGCAGGCGGAAUGUCAAGUCAGCGGUAAAAUUUCGGGGCUCAACCCCGUCGUGCCGUUGAAACUGGCGUUCUUGAGUGAGCGAGAAGUAUGCGGAAUGCGUGGUGUAGCGGUGAAAUGCAUAGAUAUCACGCAGAACUCCGAUUGCGAAGGCAGCAUACCGGCGCUCAACUGACGCUCAUGCACGAAAGCGUGGGUAUCGAACAGGAUUAGAUACCCGGGUAU